AGCUGUGAUGCGAUGCGGGGCAUGCGUAGAUGAGACUCCAUCUGCCCGGAGCAGCUUUCCUGAGCCUUGGAGGAUAGCUUCGUCAUGGCUCCUAGACUUCCGUUUAUCCUUGCUGCCUAUCUGGUUGCAGCCUGCAGCCUGGCCAUCCUGCAGGCUGGGAAGCACAGCCCCUGGCAAAAACCAGACGCGAGCACUUCAGAGAAGGAAGGAUGAGACAGGAAUUGAAGCUGAACAGUUUCCAGAUGUGGCUGAAGGCAAACAGUAAUUGCCCGGUUUAAUGGAAGAUGGUUAAGCCUGUGUUGGACAUCUGCUGUCUUUGCCGCCCUAGUCUGCAUUUCCCAGUAUUCUGCCAGCAGAAACGUAUUCGGUGCUCACACAUCAAUCCCUGGCUUCCCAGCGUCCCUCAGCAAACAUCCCCUUCUCCUGAUGCAAAAUAACCUCUCUCCUAUUGUUAUUAUCCCACAUGGUUCUAUUACUCAAUGCAGAGUGGCAUUGAGCAAAUUCACUCCAAGGUAUGAGAGUACUUGCAGGUGAAACAUUUUUUGUUAUAUCCAGAUUCAUAUCUCAUUGGUGGAAUUUUAGGCAACCUGUCAAAAUUGUAUGUUUGUAGCGGAUGCUUAGGAAAUCAAGAGAUUUCAUAGAAAACUCCAAUUCUCAGUUCUCCUAAACAUUGGACAACCUGCCAAAGUUCCUCCUGGCAUCACUGCCUGGAGCUGACACUCAUCUGGCCCUUUGGAUAAGAAGUGGAUUCUCCCCACAGUCCCCAGCAGGCCCCUUCAACUCAUGUAUAUGUUCCUGUGUCCAUGUAUAUGGAAUGUGUCCCAGACUUGGUGCAGGUGAGCUGAAAUAUCUUAUCCUCUAUCUUUGUAAAUGCACCCAAACACAGUGCCAGCAUGAGUAGACAUCCCUCCCGUCCAUGUGCACAGCUGGCUCAUCACAAAGUGAGCCUGGUGAGUCUAGUUUUUUCUCCUAUUCUGAUAAUCUUGAAAAGGUACUUGUUCUGUGCCACUUAAAAAGAAAAUACUGAUGUCCAGUCCAGUCCCAGACCAAUUAAAUAGAAGCUUCUGGGAUCUGGGGUGCCCAGCAUUGGUAAUUCUCUGAUGGUCUUAGACAUUUCUAAAUAUGCAGUGAAGUUUGAAGACUGCCAUGAAAAUGUUCAUUCCUGAUUACUAUUGCAGGAGAGAGUGUCAUUCAGUUAGGGUGGCCUGGGGUGGGCUUGGCCUAAGGUUAAGCCUAAGACAAUUCUGGUGACCAGAGAGGGAACAUCUCCAAUCUUUACAUUGUCCCAGCUAGUGUGACCCUGGGAUUCUCACCAUCUGGGUGAGAACAGCAGCUUGAGUUGGCUGACCUUUCUCUUGGGGUGUGUUUGUCCUUAUUGGAAAAAUAAAAGGAUAUGAAACACAAUGGUGGAGAAGAAAAUUAAACAGCACAGCUAGUUUCUGAACAGGAGACCCUCUCCUUUGUCUAAUGGGGUCCUAAGAGAACGUAACUUUUAGACAUUAUUAUUUUUGCAUUUGACUUAGUACUAGAUUUUAAAGCCUUUAUUCAGAACAAGUUUUCUCUCAAUCUAGAGAAUCAAGCCUGAGAAAUUUACUUGAUAAUAUGUGCCAAACUUUACCAGUAACUGAACACCAUGAUUUCCGUUUCUUUCUCUGAGUUAAAAUUUAUAGCACCCUCCUAAAAUGAUUCCUGGCUGCCAGAUAUGUUUGAGAAAAUGUAGUUAAUGGCAAAUGCCUACUGCCCCAGAACUAGAAGAGAGAUCGCUUAUCUUCAGAGACCUGAGAGGUGGUGGGAGCAUCCCCGGGUCAUGCCCUACUGGCUUUCCAUCUUUAACAGGCAGUUUAUUGCAGGUGAAUUUCAGAAAACUAUCCUUCCAAGAUUGUUGCCAUUGCUGUGAAGUGUUUCCACCUGCUCUGGGGCCAUGGAAGAGAAAACUUCCAAGUAUCUUUAUGUUAACUGAUUUUUCCAGUGGACCACAAUUCACAGAAAAACCUGCUUAUGGGCCAAGCCUGGAGAACAAUCAAUGGGACAAGGAGGAGAAAACUUACCUCUAUUUAAUCAGCUCCACGUUUCUGACAAAUGUGAAGAGCAACUGUGAAUACAGCUCGGCUGCUUAAUUCCAGACUGUUUUAUGUUGGAGCAUCACUCUUCUCUCCAAAACUUUGUCAAGAUCGUUUUACCAAGAGCACUUGCUGGAAAGCCUUUUUGGAGAAAAAGGCAAAUAACGUAUUCUGUGAGGCAGUAAAGCAGCCACUUAGAGACACAGUACUUUGAUUAUACUCUUUGAAAGACAGAGAGAAUUAGAUUUUAACAACUAUUCCAAAUCUCUCACCUAAGGGGUAGAAUUAUAAAAGAGCUCCGCAUCACCCUUGUUAUUACUACAUAUUUGGACAAGGGAA